GAGGCAUAGCUCAGUUGGUAGAGCGCCACCCUUACAAGAUGGAUGCCAUAGGUUCGAGUCCUAUUGUCUCC
rnacentral:tRNA from 1 species